AACUAGGUUGUCAUCGAUCUAUUCGCGGAUCCCUUCAUCCCCAAUUCUGCUCUGCCUAGGGUUACGAGAGAGACUCCUCCGCCACUGUGGGAUCCCUCCGCAGCCGAUUGUUGUGGCCAUGGCGCCCCUCCCAUCUCCUCGACGUGCUACACUACCGGAACGCUAUGAGCUGCUCCGGGACCUUGUCUUCGCUCCCAAGGCGAGCACUUGCGCCACUUCCGCCGGCUUUGCUCCCCGUUGGAAGGUCACGCCGGUGAUGGUGGUGGUUCACCGGCCAGAUUUCGUCGGAGAGGAGGAGGUUGACCGGCCAGAUCCUGAUCCUCCUUGCACCACCGUCGUGCCGUUGCCCCAAUGCUCCUCUCGAUGCGCCUCCACCGCAUCCCAGUAAUUUCUAAAUCCAAUCUUCGUCUCGCUGUCUCAUCUCACAGCAUGCCGCCUCCCCUUUUCAAGAUGGGGAGCCCGAGCGACCUCGAGCAACUGUCGCCGUCGCCGUCACGUAUGGCUCGGCGAGCUCGUACAGCGUGUGCCCCGCCCUCCCUCCUCCGUGUGCCCCUGUCUACUCCUAUGCCCCUAUUAGCCACGAAGGUGAUGCUUGUUUACAAGCAACAUACUCUCGUCUAUGGAUUCUCAAUCUCAGGAAAUGAAUCUUGGGGGAUGCAUUUACCUUCAUGGAGAUGAUUCGAGGGUGCAAUUUUCUGACCCGUUCUUUUCUUUAAUGGUAGGGAAUGCUCACCUUAGACUCUUUACGGUGGGUAGCUUGAUGUUGUUGAGGUACCAAAGUCUGAAUGCUCUCGAAUAUUGUUGAUCGAGUCAAUGGAUGUUUCCUGGUUGCUCUUAUGGUGAGUAUCAGGUGGUUCUCUUCGACGGUGAUGUCGCCAACACAGCAGAUGCAGCUUGCGGAUCCCACGGCAUGACUCAGAUGCUGACGAUGAACCGGACUACCUGUUGUAAUUUGAACACCUAAAAAAGGUUCUUGGACCCGCUGCAACGCGUGUUCUACAACAACAAUACCGGGCGCGAGGCACUGGUGAAGAAGUGCGCAGAUGAGCACAUGCAGCAGUGCAAGGUGCUCCGCGGUGGCCCCCGUGUCGUCGAGUACAUCCAUAUACAACUUCUCCUUCUACAGAGUUCUCCUUUGCUUUCUUGCACAUGUGCUCUGCCGGACUAACGCACAUACACUAAGUAGCUCUUUUCUUCAUUUGGGGUUUCCUUCGCAGGGUGAUUCCCAGGGCUCUCAACCUGUCGAGGUACGCAAUCUUGAUGCUUUAGAUUUCUAUCUAUGUAAUCUACAUCUUAGCAUUGUGUACGUGUAGUAUCUAAGAGUAAGAAAUAUAUUGUCCGGUUCAGUCAUGUGGUGUGUAUUGGUGUUUGGAAUUCAGUCAUGUACUCAUUCAUACUGAAACUAAAGUCUGAAAGGCUGGUGGAGGACGUUGUGGAGAGUGUCGCUGAAGGUGGGUCUGUCCGGCUGUCACUACUGCUGGAGCUACAGCGCCGGUACACGAAGAUCAACGGGAAGGUGGCCAUCGCCGAGACCCGAUUGAGCCUCAUGCAGGAGGACAUGUACAUACUAACAUAAACAAGAUGAUAGAGAAGUUCUCUGCUCUUCAGCUCAAAGUGAAGGAGGUGAAUGCAUUGUUCACCAUGAAGCAGAAUCAGUCCUCCAAAAGGCCUGCUAGGACAGCAAGGGCAAGUGCACGAUGGUGCCCUGAAGCAUCACGGUGAACAUGGUAGUGUCAGGUUGUUGAUGGAGCGAUUCAAAUUGGUAAUCGAUGUUAUUGACAGUUAGUAUUGUACAUAAAUUUUCUUUGUAAGAGGUACUGAUGUUAUGCAGACAGAGAUUCCGCCCAUUUGAUACCUUAGGUUUGAAGGUCGAGUACCACGCCGCCGCCAUUGCAACCGCUCUAGGAUACCAUUAAUGGGAUAUCACUUAAACGCCCUCGUUGCUGGAUCAAAGCGUUGCAGAGUACGCAGGCAGUCUUCGAGUGGCGGGAUGAGGACACGUCUAGAAUGGUGAUGGCGCCAUGGAGUGCAACAAGUAUUCCCAAGGCAACAUUUAUAUGCAGCAUAGCCAGGAUGUCUGGGGUAGCAUUGGAAACAGCCACAUAAAGGGCCUAAACAAUCAAGUAGGUAUGCUUUUAAAGUGGCAGUGGACUAAAGAUGAGCACAGGGUUGUAUACACCAUGCUUAGAAAGGAUGUCUCGGAGAGUGUUGAAUGAUGGAGUGACAAAGAGGUGUCGGCUUUAGCUCGUGUUCCUAUUUAGACUAUGCAACCCAUCUAGGAAAGAAGGCAAGAAGGUGGUGUCGUUCAAGACAUCAAGAGCAAGAAACCAAAGAUUUAUGGACGGAAGAGGAUCACAUUUAAUUCUAAUGAUAGAACCGAAGAUCUCUUACACAAUAGAUUUUGUGCCAGACAAACUACCGUCGAAAACCAAAGUAUGAUCUUGAUAGCUUGAAACAAGUAGACUACUAUCACAUGACCUUGAUUUGUGUUAUAACAACGUGUAUUUGUAAGUGUAAAACAUAUCCAUAUUAUUUAUCUCCCGUA